CGAAGGAUGCAAGCGUUAUCCGGAUUCAUUGGGUUUAAAGGGAGCGUAGGUGGACUGAUAAGUCAGUGGUGAAAUCUUCGAGCUUAACUCGGAAAUUGCCAUUGAUACUGUUGGUCUUGAGUACAGUUGCUGUGGGCGGAAUAUGACAUGUAGUGGUGAAAUACAUAGAGAUGUCAUAGAACACCGAUUGCGAAGGCAGCUCACAAAGCUGUAACUGACACUGAGGCUCGAAAGUGCGGGGAUCAAACAGGAUUAGAUACCCUGGUAGUCCGCACUGUAAACGAUGAUUACUCGCUGCUGGAUGGCAACAUUUAGUGGCUUAGCGAAAGCGAUAAGUAAUCCACCUGGGGAGUACGCCGGCAACGGUG
rnacentral:rRNA from 1 species